rnacentral:rRNA from 1 species
AUACGGAGGGUGCAAGCGUUAUUCGGAAUUACUGGGCGUAAAGGGCGCGUAGGCGGCGAUGUAAGUCAAAUGUGAAAGUCCUCGGCUUAACCGGGGAAGUGCAUCUGAAACUGCAUUGCUUGAGUAUGGGAGAGGAAAGUGGAAUUCCCGGUGUAGAGGUGAAAUUCGUAGAGAUCAGGAGGAAUACCGGUGGCGAAGGCGACUUUCUGGACCAAUACUGACGCUGAGGCGCGAAAGCGUGGGGAGCAAACAGGAUUAGAAACCCUAGUAGUCC